rnacentral:rRNA from 1 species
GACAGAGGGUGCAAACGUUGUUCGGAAUUACUGGGCGUAAAGCGCGUGUAGGCGGCCCUGCAAGUCGGGUGUGAAAUCCCACGGCUCAACCGUGGAAGUGCACUCGAAACUGCAGGGCUAGAGUCCUGGAGAGGAAGGUGGAAUGCUUGGUGUAGAGGUGAAAUUCGUAGAUAUCAAGCGGAACACCGGUGGCGAAGGCGGUCUGCUGGGCAGUAGCUGACACUGAGGCGCGACAGCGUGGGGAGCAAACAGG